AGACUGAAGUGGAGAAAGGUUCCGUGUGAACAGUAAUUGGACACGGGUGAGUCGAUCCUAAGAGAUAGGUGAACACUAUUUGAACCGGACUUUCCUCGGGAAGUCUAGAUAUCGAAAGGGAAUCAGGUUAAUAUUCCUGAACGAAGACGUGGAUACUGAAUGGUAACAUAAGCGAAAUUGGGAACGCUGGCAGUAGCCCUGGGAAGAGUUCGUCUUUUCUUUUUAACACUACUUUAGACCCUGGAAUCGAAUUGCUCGGCGAUAGGGUGUAAGGUAUGGCAAAGCAGCGAAUUUUUCGUUGUCCGGUGCGCUACUGACGGCCCUUGAAAACCCAGUGGAGUGAUUUAUUCGCACCCUUCGUCGUACUCAUAACCGCCUCAGGUCUCCAAGGUGUGCAGCCUCUAGUCGAUAGAAUAAUGUAGAUAAGGGAAGUCGGCAAAAUGGAUCCGUAACCUCGGGAUAAGGAUUGGCUCUGAGGGUUGGGCAAUGGGGUCCAUAUCUCGAACCCUGAGUUUGGCCGAAACUGCAGGACUCUCGGGUCUUGUGGAUUUGUGCUAGAUUUAGGAUGACGGAUAUGGACUGUUCUUCGGAACGUCCUAUUGCAGUGAACAACUAUCUCAGAACUGGAGCGGACAAAGGGAAUCCGACUGUUUAAUUAAAACAAAGCAUUGCGAUGGUCGGAAA
rnacentral:rRNA from 14 species